CUAGCGGGCGCCCCACUUUCCGCCCACCGCUGCUCGUUUUUUUAACUGCCUGCCGCCGCAACCGCAACGGCGUGCCGCGUACGUACGGUACGGGCACGGGGCACGUCCACCUCCAUUUUUGUCGGCGCACCGGCACCGCGGAGAUGCCCAGAUUCUUCAUUCCUCGUGAGCGGUGAACGGCGGCGGCAGUGAAAGCAUCGCCGCACGCAUCUUCCGUAGUAGUUCCGUGCCUGCCUCGCCUGCGUGGUUAACCGGCUGAUCCCGCCACUCGACCGCCCGAGGGACAGGACACUGCAGGGCCUCUUUCUCUUCCCGGCACCCGCCUCUUUUUCUUCCCGGCACCCGCCAACUCACGGGCGCCGACCGCCGCCGUGCACCCAAGAGGCGCGUUACUCGGGUCACGGGAGACAGCGGCGGCGGCGAACCGGAACGGCGGCCCGGAGGCUGCGGUUAGGCGUACUAACGAGCGCUGAGGGCGAGGGGCGAGCGCACACGCGACAGGAGGACAGGGACAGCGCACGCGGAGCGGGGGCCGGGAGCAAGCACGCGACAGGAUCGUCCCCCGGGCGAGUAAACAAAUGGAGCAACUUGACCUGCCGAGAUCAGCACGGCAGCAGAUGCGGUGUGCCUGAGGCCUGUGCUGCCACCGCCCGGCCCCCGAUCGCGCGAGGAAGGAUGAAGAUGGACUAGAAUUUUCUAAAAAUAAUGAAGAUGUAGCAAGUGGCUCCUCUCCAUGAGCAAUGUGUCUUAUGUUUGUUGAGAGAUGUGAGCAAAUGAGAAUUGGUUGUAAUAGUCUAUGCGUGCUAAGUGAUCUUGAUGUGAACAAGUGAUUAUGAAUAUGUGUUCUAAACUUUAUAUUGUGUCAUGUGUGCUAGUAGACUUAUAUGGCUUCUUAUGUUAGCCAAGAGCCCAAGACUUAUGUGCUACAUUAAUCUAUGUGUGCUCUGGAUUUACAUGGCUUUUAUCUAUGCUUAAUUAAGACU